rnacentral:rRNA from 1 species
AGUGAACGCUGGCGGUAGGCCUAACACAUGCAAGUCGAACGGCAGCACAGUAAGAGCUUGCUCUUACGGGUGGCGGGUGGCGGACGAGUGAGGAAUACAUCGGAAUCUACUUUUUCGUGGGGGAUAACGUAGGGAAACUUACGCUAAUACCGCAUACGACCUACGGGUGAAAGCAGGGGAUCUUCGGACCUUGCGCGAUUGAAUGAGCCGAUGUCGGAUUAGCUAGUUGGCGGGGUAAAGGCCCACCAAGGCGACGAUCCGUAGCUGGUCUGAGAGGAUGAUCAGCCACACUGGAACUGAGACACGGUCCAGACUCCUACGGGAGGCAGCAGUGGGGAAUAUUGGACAAUGGGCGCAAGCCUGAUCCAGCCAUACCGCGUGGGUGAAGAAGGCCUUCGGGUUGUAAAGCCCUUUUGUUGGGAAAGAAAAGCAGCAGGUUAAUACCCCGCUGUUCUGACGGUACCCAAAGAAUAAGCACCGGCUAACUUCGUG